rnacentral:lncRNA from 1 species
AAUCACUUAGUUCAGUGGAAUAAUACAAAACUUGAGUUCACAACAUUCAACAAAAUAUUUGACACCAGUCUGCGAAAUCUCUAACACUGUGAAAGCCAACAUCUGUCUAACGACUGGGACAAGGCCCCCCAGUCAAACCGUAAAACAAAAGAAAUAAUAAAGUUUAAUGACCAGGCCUUUUGGAAUAGAGAAGGCUCACCAACUGCAACUUCGAACACACAAAUCUACUGUUAAACGGGACCCCGGGACUGUCUCUGAGAUCCUGAAAUAUAGGGGGUCAAUACAGAUGUACUGGUAUGUGAAACAACUCAAAAUAACAUGUUUUAUACAAAAAUAGAUGAGAGCAUUUCAUAAUGAAAGUGAACAUAAUAUAAGUAGAAAUACAUGGGCAUAUUUAAUAAACUUCAAAUCAAUUCUUGACAACCUUGACUCACUCUUUGUUACUCUUCCGAGCUAUUCGCUACACCCUACAAAUUUGAAAUACCACGGGCUACGUGAAACCCGCCCUUGACUCGACGGCCGAUCCUUCAAUCCAAGUAGCCGUCAGGAUUUGGAGCUGGUGAUACCCCCCAUGUGAGCACACCACAGGAAUCCCCCCUUGUGAGAUGUGAUAAUUAUUUUAUUAUCCUCCCAUGUAGGAUACAAUAUCAUAUGACCCGCAUCGGCAACUACGAUUUCCAGCGAUGAGCCCUUACACUCAAACGCCUUCUUCGCGUAACCUACUAGCUCUCUUAAGCCCAAAUUUUAGUUCUUUAAAGUAGACAUGUUCCAUUCAACACUUAUCUUGUUAAGGGCAUGUAAUCACCGGGUAUCAUCAUACCCUGACUUGCAAGUCAAUCAAAUCACAUCAUAUCAAUCUGUAGCCCUUUUCACUUACUAUCAUAUUAGUGACCACCCUAACUUUUAAAUAUCAGAUAAGAGAGAGUUAUACAAUAAAUCUUCCAUUCAAAAUCUUCAUCAAAACAUUCUCCUCCCAAUUGCGGAAUCAAUAGGUGGUCAUCCCAUAUUUGUAAUUUCUUAAAAUUCAAGGAAGUUGUUAAUUUGACACAAUGAAUAUUUAUCAUGUAAAAAUAUAUACUCAACAUGUCAUAAAAAGUACCAAACUAUGAUUAUUUAACAAUCAUUUAUCCAUUAGUUUUUUCAUUUAGAAAGUUCAUGCCUUUAAACAACCCAUAACAAUCAAAAUCGACAAUAUCAUGAUAAAAGAGGAAGUUUUGAUCAUUCCUGCUGCUCUCAUUAAACUUUUAUUACACCCCAAAACAUAGAUACAUAAUUAUGUUCAAAAUUCAUGUUAAACGAUUCAAGGCAACAUACAAUUACUUCAAAAACAACUUCCUGACGUAAUACUUUUCAAACAAUUCCAAAAAAACACCUUUCUUUAUGAAUAUGAUUAGGGAUCUUUAAUAUAAUUAAAACAAUAGAAGAAAACUUAUGCCCAUGAUGUUUAGAGAAGUCCCACAUACCUUAGAUUAUAAGAUCUGCAAAAUGGAACCCAAAUCUUGAUCCAUUUCUUGAAAUCUUGAACUUAAGGAUUGAUUCUUGAUUUCUUGUUCUUGGAGGAAACCCUAGUUUGAUCUUAUUUUUGAGAGUGAAAAGAGGAUCUUGAUGUUG